rnacentral:tRNA from 1 species
GCGCGAUUAGCUCAGCUGGAUAGAGCGUCGGCCUCCGGAGCCGAAGGUCGCAGGUUCGAAUCCUGCAUCGCGCA